GACGAACGCUGGCGGCGUGCUUAACACAUGCAAGUCGAACGGAGAGGCCCUGCGUUUGUGGGGUGCUCGAGUGGCGAACGGGUGAGUAACACGUGAGUAACCUGCCCUUGACUUUGGGAUAACUUCAGGAAACUGGGGCUAAUACCGGAUAGGAGCUCCUGCUGCAUGGUGGGGGUUGGAAAGUUUCGGCGGUUGGGGAUGGACUCGCGGCUUAUCAGCUUGUUGGUGGGGUAGUGGCUUACCAAGGCUUUGACGGGUAGCCGGCCUGAGAGGGUGACCGGCCACAUUGGGACUGAGAUACGGCCCAGACUCCUACGGGAGGCAGCAGUGGGGAAUAUUGCACAAUGGGCGGAAGCCUGAUGCAGCAACGCCGCGUGCGGGAUGACGGCCUUCGGGUUGUAAACCGCUUUCGCCUGUGACGAAGCGUGAGUGACGGUAAUGGGUAAAGAAGCACCGGCUAACUACGUG
rnacentral:rRNA from 1 species